rnacentral:rRNA from 1 species
AGCGAACGUUUGCGGCGGGCCUAACACAUGCAAGUCGAACGGGCUAGCAAUAGUCAGUGGCGCACGGGUGCGUAACACGUGGGUAAUCAACCCUUCAGCUCGGGAUAACGCCUUGAAAGGGGCGGCUAAUACCGGAUGCGACGCGAGGAGCCUCGGCGCUUCGCGGGAAAGAUUCGCAAGGAUCACUGAAGGACGAGCCUGCGGCCCAUCAGCUAGUUGGUGAGGUAAGAGCUCACCAAGGCGAAGACGGGUAGCUGGUCUGAGAGGAUGAUCAGCCACACUGGAACUGAGACACGGUCCAGACUCCUACGGGAGGCAGCAGUGGGGAAUAUUGCGCAAUGGGCGAAAGCCUGACGCAGCCACGCCGCGUGAGCGAUGAAGGCCUCGGUCGUAA